UUCUUUCUAUUUCUCUCUCAGACUCCAAAAAAACAAAAUCAGAGAAACAUUUCCCUCAUGUCUUUUCCUCUGUCAUGCCUCAUCAGCACCACCACCAUCAUCAUCAAUAAACCAAUCUUUUCCUCUCUCACGCUAGAUGUUCAAGGAACGCAAUGAACAACGUUUAACACCUUCAUCUACUUCUCUCUGCCUCUCGUGUCCUCUCACUCUCUCAACUCCAAUUUCACUCUCAAUUCUUAGUUGCAUGUGUUGUUCAUCCAAUCAUAAGGAUAUGGACCAUUGGAAUUCUAAGGUAAGAGUAGUAAUUUCAGUUUCAUUCCUCUUUCCCUUUUAUGAACCCUAAACUCAUUUGUGAUUUUGACCCAUUGAGGUGUAUGCAUGUUUGUAAUUCUGGUCUUGGAGCACUUGUGAGGAAUUAAGGACUGUUGUUGGAACAAGGAAACAAGAACAUUGGAAAUAUUUAUGGAAAUUCGUAUGCUGGAUGUACCCUCACUAAAAUGGUCAUACCUCUCCCUGUGUUAGUCCAAAUUUAACCAUUCUUGAUGUUCUGGAUAGCUAACAUAAUCUCGGUCGUUUAGGUACUAGCCUAGUGAGAUUUAAUGGAGAAAUGAGGUCUCUGCGAAUUUUUGAAGUGAAAGGUUCAACACAGAAUUUAUGCAGAAAGUGUUUAGGAUUGGGCUGCACUCAAACAGUUUCGAUUUAUUCUGAUUGCUAUGGAAAGCUAACUUAAAUAUGGUCGUUAUGGUCCCGGUUUCAUAAUUUAUGGACGAGAAUUGUGGCUAGUAGGUAUUUUUGAAGUUGGAACUCUGAUGCUGAAGUUAUGCAGAAAAAUCUGCAUACGAGUUUGAAGUAGUUUCAUUGCAAAUUCCGCUUUUCGGCGAGUUUCAGAAAUGUCGGUGGUACUGUUCAAGCAUCAAUUACAGGUGGGUUUCCUUAGAGGCUCAACUUCUAGUAUAGCCUAGCACUUUAGUUUCCCAAUAAAUUUUGCAUGAUAAUAAUAGAAUGAUAGUUCCCCAAAUUAUGAAUUGUUGUAUGAUAAUAUAAGUUAGGAUCGUGUUUGGCUUGGGACCUGGGAGUGUGCUCCUCUUGAGGUCUGAGGUUCGAUUCUCUCUGGCGCCAAUUUGGGUGGGCUAAUUUAGCUUCUUCAAAAAAAAAGUUAGGAUCGUGUGUGAGAGGGACUUAAACCCAAAGUACCACUCCACUCCAUUAUGAUUAUUUAAUCUAUAAACAGUAUGCAUAGCUAGUAGGAAAGGAUAUUGUAGGUGAUUUCUGCAUAAUUCAUGAAAUUUCGUAAAACAGGGUGCUGAACUGGUAUGCUCGCUAAGCGAGAGAUUGUUCAUUGUGGCUCGCUUUGACAUCUGAACAUUCUGACUUGGGUUAGCAGUAGCGAGCCUGUCAGGGUGGUUGGUUAUCAUUGCUCGCUAAGCAAGCAUAUGUCUCGUUAAGCGAGAACAUCAGAUCAGAACCUGCAUAAAGUUUUAAGGCUUAACUAUACAUUUGGUCCCUUACGUUUAUUUUAGGUUUCAAUUUGGUCCCUUACGUUUAAAAAGUAUCAAUUUGGUCCCUUACGUUNNNNNNNNNNNNNNNNNNNNNNNNNNNNNNNNNNNNNNNNNNNNNNNNNNNNNNNNNNNNNNNNNNNNNAGCGUGUCCAAGUGCCACGUGUCAGUCCACAUAUGCAAAUUGACUGCCACAUGUGACAAAAUUGACGGAAAGGACUAACUUGAAACCUAAAAUAAACAUAAGGGACCAAAUUGAUACUUUUUAAACGUAAUGAACCAAAUUGAAACCUAAAAUAAACGUAAGGGACCAAAUGUAUAGUUAAGUCAAGUUUUAAAAUAGUGAAAUCACUCAUUUUAUAUUUCCAAUCCUUCUAGAGUUUCUAUGAGUACCGUAAGUAAAGGAAAUGAUUAUAAUGUUAAUUACACGUUAAGUUAUAAAUAUCAGGAAAUCAGGACAAGCUAGAAAUACCCUGGGAGGGAAUUCAUGGGCAUGAUAACAAAUCAGGAUUAUUAAGUUAAGGAAUGUCAGUCAAUCAUGGUGGUUACUUCGGUACCACGUUAUGGAAUUCGAGGAAUCCAAUCAUGUUACGAUUGUGAGCUUCAUGCCGUGUCGAUGCAUAUACUCAUCGACGACAGAUAUGUCAGGCCUCUGAGAUCGGCUCACCUCAGAGUGUCUUAGUUAUGUUAAAAUGAACAAGUUAAUUAAUCCGUGUUACACAUUUAUAUUAUUAUGUUUAUGAAAUCAUGUUAUGAAAUUAUCUUAGAGACUGACAAUCAGGAUCAAGGAACUUUUAGUUCAUCAGUUGCCCCCGGUGUAGACAUCAAUAGUAACUGGUUAGUAGGAAUCCAUUAAGACGAAGUGACUGUUCUCAUCCCCCACUUAUUUGAUUUAAAAUAAACAGGUUGAUCGAGAUUUUAUGAUCUGCGAGCAUGGAGUUCAAAUACUUGGAUUAUGCUAGUUGAGCUGUCGUCAUGUUAUCUUAUAUUUUGUAUAAAAUUUAGUUUCUUUAUGUUUUCAAUUGUUAGCUCAAUUUAGUAUUAAUCUCUUAGAUUUUGUAAUCCUAUUUAUGUAUUCGAAUGAUAUGUAAUGAAAAUUUAAUGUUUCCGAUUCAGUUAUGUACACUCUUGUCGAUAUUCUAGAUAAAUUGACAUGGGGUGUUAUAAUCCGCCUAUGUUUUGGAAACUUAGUUUUUUUAAAUAAAUUAUACUUUCAAAUUUAGCCAUCCAAAUUUAAUUCAUACCUUCG
rnacentral:lncRNA from 1 species